UUGCAGCGGUGCUGAUGAAUACAUUGUAGGGAAAACACUGAUUAUUACAUUACUAUUUUGGUAUGAACAUUCACCCGCCAGUGUGGCGGAUAGCCUUUUGAAAUUUACUCGCCAAACGGAAAAUCUACCCGCAUUUGGCGCUUGGCGGGUGUUAAUUUCGGACCCUGGCUAAAGCCCUUCAAUGCUUGGAGAGCUCUCCACAAGGUAAAGAACAUCGUCAGUCGCUUGUUGUGUUUCCUGCAGAGGUGACUGGUGGGGAAGAUGGCCGGAUCCGUCAGCCGAUGUCUCUGCAGGGCUGGUUCCCUCAGGUGUGGUGUGAGCGGACACUCCGACUUGUCCUUCGUAUCCCAGAAGCCUUCGAUGCAGUCCAGGCAAAAGUUGUGUCCACAUGGGAUGGAGACAGGAUUGUUAUGAAGAAAAAAAUUCACCUCAGAUCAAGAACAAGCGUUUAAUGGAGAGGCGUGUCUGCGGUCUUUGUUUAACAGAACCUCCCCCUUGUCAAGCUCGUCUGAGCAACAUGCUUGAAAGAGAAGCUGCUGAGGUUUGUUCUUCAUUUUGUAAGAUACCAAGUAAUUAUUUCCACUCAGCAGCCAGAACAUGUGAAUGAAUCAGCAGCCAGAACAUGUGAACAGUGAUCAUUUAAUACAGUAAUAAGGAUAAUAAAUGUGUGU